GUAGGUGAACCUGCGGAAGGAUCAUUAUCGUGGGGCUUCGGCCCUCUCGAGAUAGAACCCUUGCCUUUUUGAGUACCUUUCGUUUCCUCGGCGGGCUCGCCCGCCAAUGGGGACCACAAUAAACCCUUUGUAAUACCUGUAAUCGUCUGACAAAACAAACAAAAAUUAAAACUUUCAACAACGGAUCUCUUGGUUCUGGCAUCGAUGAAGAACGCAGCAUCUGACUGACUUCAGUACGAGGCAUCUCGUA
rnacentral:misc_RNA from 1 species